rnacentral:lncRNA from 1 species
ACCCUGACACCUGGAAGAUGCUCCUAGGGAUGACCCCACUCCCCACCCACAACUGUUAAUCAGGAAAUAACGGAUAUGAAAGUAGCUCUGCGAACUGAGGAGCCGUGGAGAAUGUACAAAACAGAUUCCUAAAGUAGUGCAUUCGUGUAACAAGAUUAAGAAAACGAAGGACCAACUUCAAGCUCUUGCAAGCUGGUAACCUUUACACUCGUGCAUAAAGCCUUGCUGGAGUUGACACUGAAAACUAAACAGUCGAACUUGAGUAAAACAUAUCCAAACUCCCAGCUGCUGGGCUCUACAGCUUAUUUUUAGCUUGAAAGUUACAUGUUGGAGCUGCAGAGGCUUUAUGGUGGUGGUGGGGGAGCUGUUUGUUCGUAGUCACUUGAGUCUAUAUGAACGUGGCAGGAAAUCUGAAGGAUGUGAAAGGAAAAUGGGAAACACCAGGGUGUUCCAGGAUUUU